rnacentral:rRNA from 1 species
UAUUGGACAAUGGGCGAAAGCCUGAUCCAGCCAUGCCGCGUGUGUGAAGAAGGUCUUCGGAUUGUAAAGCACUUUAAGUUGGGAGGAAGGGCAUUAACCUAAUACGUUAGUGUUUUGACGUUACCGACAGAAUAAGCACCGGCUAACUCUGUGCCAGCAGCCGCGGUAAUACAGAGGGUGCAAGCGUUAAUCGGAAUUACUGGGCGAAAGCGCGCGUAGGUGGUUUGUUAAGUUGGAUGUAAAUCCCCGGGCUCAACCUGGAACUGCAUUCAAAACUACUACAGAGAUGGAGAGGGUGGUGGAAUUUCCUGUGAGCGGUAAAUGCGAGUAAAGAAGAACACCAGUGGCGAGGCGCACCUGGCAAAUCUGCUCUGCGUGAGA